CGCGUUGGGAGCUCUCCCAUAUGGUCGACCUGCAGGCGGCCGCGAAUUCACUAGUGAUUCGUAUUACCGCGGCUGCUGGCACGGAGUUAGCCGGAGCUUAUUCUCCCGGUACUGUCAUUAUCAUCCCGGGUAAAAGAGCUUUACGACCCUAAGGCCUUCAUCACUCACGCGGCAUUGCUGGAUCAGGCUUGCGCCCAUUGUCCAAUAUUCCCCACUGCUGCCUCCCGUAGGAGUCUGGGCCGUGUCUCAGUCCCAGUGUGGCUGAUCAUCCUCUCAGACCAGCUAAGGAUCGUCGGCUUGGUAGGCCUUUACCCCACCAACUACCUAAUCCUACGCGGGCUCAUCCCUGGCCGAUAAAUCUUUGGUCCGAAGACAUCAUCCGGUAUUAGCAGUCAUUUCUAACUGUUAUUCCGAAGCCAAGGGCAGAUUCCCACGCGUUACGCACCCGUGCGCCACUAACCCCGAAGGGUUCGUUCGACUUGCAUGUGUUAGGCAUGCCCCCAGCGUUCGUUCUGAGCCAUGAUCAAACUCUAAUCGAAUUCCCGCG
rnacentral:rRNA from 1 species